AACGAACGCUGGCGGCAGGCCUAACACAUGCAAGUCGAACGCCGUAGCAAUACGGAGUGGCAGACGGGUGCGUAACGCGUGGGAACAUACCCUUUGGUUCGGAAUAACUCAGGGAAACUUGAGCUAAUACCGGAUACGUCCGAGAGGAGAAAGAUUUAUCGCCGAAGGAUUGGCCCGCGUCUGAUUAGCUAGUUGGUGAGGUAACGGCUCACCAAGGCGACGAUCAGUAGCUGGUCNGAGAGGAUGAUCAGCCACACUGGGACUGAGACACGGCCCAGACUCCUACGGGAGGCAGCAGUGGGGAAUAUUGGACAAUGGGCGCAAGCCUGAUCCAGCCAUGCCGCGUGAGUGAUGAAGGCCUUAGGGUUGUAA
rnacentral:rRNA from 1 species